rnacentral:rRNA from 13 species
CACAAAAUGACUCUCGGCAACGGAUAUCUCGGCUCUUGCAUCGAUGAAGAACGUAGCGAAAUGCGAUACUUGGUGUGAAUUGCAGAAUCCCGUGAACCAUCGAGUCUUUGAACGCAAGUUGCGCCUGAAGCCAUUAGGCUGAGGGCACGCCUGCCUGGGUGUCACA